UAGAUACCCUGGUAGUCCACGCCCUAAACGAUGUCUACUAGUUGUCGGGUCUUAAUUGACUUGGUAACGCAGCUAACGCGUGAAGUAGACCGCCUGGGGAGUACGGUCGCAAGAUUAAAACUCAAAGGAAUUGACGGGGACCCGCACAAGCGGUGGAUGAUGUGGAUUAAUUCGAUGCAACGCGAAAAACCUUACCUACCCUUGACAUGGCUGGAAUCCCCGAGAGAUUGGGGAGUGCUCGAAAGAGAACCAGUACACAGGUGCUGCAUGGCUGUCGUCAGCUCGUGUCGUGAGAUGUUGGGUUAAGUCCCGCAACGAGCGCAACCCUUGUCAUUAGUUGCUACGAAAGGGCACUCUAAUGAGACUGCCGGUGACAAACCGGAGGAAGGUGGGGAUGACGUCAAGUCCUCAUGGCCCUUAUGGGUAGGGCUUCACACGUCAUACAAUGGUACAUACAGAGCGCCGCCAACCCGCGAGGGGGAGCUAAUCGCAGAAAGUGUAUCGUAGUCCGGAUUGUAGUCUGCAACUCGACUGCAUGAAGUUGGAAUCGCUAGUAAUCGCGGAUCAGCAUGUCGCGGUGAAUACGUUCCCGGGUCUUGUACACACCGCCCGUCACACCAUGGGAGCGGGUUUUACCAGAACGUAGGUAG
rnacentral:rRNA from 1 species